AGCGAACGCUGGCGGCAGGCUUAACACAUGCAAGUCGAGCGCCCCGCAAGGGGAGCGGCAGACGGGAGAGUAACACGUGGGAACAUACCUUUUGGUUCGGAACAACUGAGGGAAACUUCAGCUAAUACCGGAUAAGCCCUUACGGGGAAAGAUUUAUCGCCGAACGAUUGGCCCGCGUCUGAUUAGCUAGUUGGUGAGGUAACGGCUCACCAAGGCGACGAUCAGUAGCUGGUCUGAGAGGAUGAUCAGCCUCACUGGGACUGAGACACGGCCCAGACUCCUACGGGAGGCAGCAGUGGGGAAUAUUGGACAAUGGGGGCAACCCUGAUCCAGCCAUGCCGCGUGAGUGAUGAAGGCCUUAGGGUUGUAAAGCUCUUUUGCCCGGGAAGAUAAUGACGGUACCGGGAGAAUAAGCCCCGGCUAACUUCGUG
rnacentral:rRNA from 1 species